rnacentral:rRNA from 1 species
GAUGAACGCUGGCGGCGUGCCUAAUACAUGCAAGUCGAGCGAAGCGGGGACGGGUGAGUAACACGUAGCUACCCUCCUAUAAGACUGGGUUAACUUCGGGAAACCCGAGCUAAACCGGCUACUUAUAGGUGGAUGCGCGCUGGAUUAGCUAGUUGGUAAGGUAACGGCUUACCAAGGCCACGAUGAAUAGCCGACCUGAGAGGGUGAUCGGCCACACUGGAACUGAGACACGGUCCAGACUCCUACGGGAGGCAGCAGUGGGGAAUCUUGCGCAAUGGGCGAAAGCCUGACGGAGCAACGCCGCGUGAGUGAAGAAGGUCUUCGGAUCGUAAAACUCUGUUAUUAGGGAAGCGGUACCUAAUCAGAAAGCCACGGCUAACUACGUGCCAGCAGCCGCGGUAAUUC